rnacentral:misc_RNA from 1 species
AUGGGUCAGGUGCCAGGG